GCUAGGUGUGGUGGCGCACACCUCUAGUCCCAGCUACUUGGGAGGCUGAGGUGGGAGGAUUGCUUGAGCCCAGGAGGUCAAGGCUGCAAGGAGCAGUGAUCACGCCUCUGCACUCCAGCCUGGGUGACAGAGCAAGAUCCUGUCUCAA
ensembl:misc_RNA Metazoa_SRP Metazoan signal recognition particle RNA